ACCCUUUCGGGAUCACACCUGGAGAGUUUCCAGUGCUUUACCAGUUUCGACUAUGGGAGGGAGAGCCAAGCGGAGAAGGCAGAUCCAUUCCAUUCCUAGCUUGGCCAGUGGCUAGCGAGUGGAAGGCAAUCUGCUAAAAGU